rnacentral:rRNA from 1 species
GUAUCAGUAAGCGGAGGAAAAGAAACCAACAGGGAUUCCCUUAGUAACGGCGAGUGAAGAGGGAAAAGCUCAAAUUUGAAAUCUCUCUGGGUUUAUCUCAGAGCGAAUUGUAGUUUAGAGAAACGUUUUCGGGGGUGACUUGGGUCGAAGUCUGUUGGAACGCAGCGCCAUAGAGGGUGAGAGCCCCGUAUGGCCUGGUGUUACUCCUGUAUGAUACGUUUUCAAAGAGUCGCAUAGUUUGGGAAUGCUGUGCAAAAUGGGUGGUAAAUAUCAUCUAAAGCUAAAUAUUGGCGAGAGACCGAUAGCGCACAAGUA